UACAGAGGUCCCAAGCGUUGUUCGGAUUCAUUGGGCGUAAAGGGCGCGUAGGCGGCCAUCUAAGUCAGACGUGAAUCCCUCGGCUCAACCGAGGAACUGCGUCUGAUACUGGAAGGCUUGAAUCCGGGAGAGGGAUGUGGAAUUCCAGGUGUAGCGGUGAAAUGCGUAGAUAUCUGGAGGAACACCGGUGGCGAAGGCGGCAUCCUGGACCGGUAUUGACGCUGAGGCGCGAAAGCUAGGGGAGCAAACGGG
rnacentral:rRNA from 1 species